UCCAGGUCUAUUGAUUUGCUCUAAUAUAAGAUAAGAUUUCUUUUUAGGCAAAAUAAAAUUCGGCUUAUAGAAUCUGGUAGAUUAUUCUUAUUGGAUGGUUCCAGGAAAUGAUUAAUGAGCUGGUCUGAAUGUUAUUUUUAUUGAAAAUUACAUAAGAAUAGGAUACUAUAUGCCUAGGAGGAUCUAGCCAGCGUUGAAAGGGUUACUCAGUUGAUUUAACUGUUGAUUUAACUGUUAGCCAAGGUUUUAUGGCUUUUUGCUGUGAAAAGCUUUAUUUUUGUCUAUAAAGUACCCUCAUAAAUCUUAAUUGACAGGAGAUGCUGUUAG